rnacentral:rRNA from 1 species
UACGUAGGGGGCAAGCGUUGUCCGGAAUUAUUGGGCGUAAAGAGCGCGUAGGCGGUCCGGUAAGUCAGCUGUGAAAGUCAAGGGCUCAACCCUUGAAAGCCGGUUGAUACUGUCGGGCUAGAGUCCGGAAGAGGAGAGUGGAAUUCCACGUGUAGCGGUGAAAUGCGUAGAGAUGUGGAGGAACACCAGUGGCGAAGGCGACUCUCUGGUCUGUAACUGACGCUGAGGCGCGAAAGCGUGGGGAGCAAACAGG